rnacentral:rRNA from 1 species
AUUGAACGCUGGCGGCAUGCCUUACACAUGCAAGUCGAACGGCAGCGCGGGGCAACCUGGCGGCGAGUGGCGAACGGGUGAGUAAUAUAUCGGAACGUACCCUGGAGUGGGGGAUAACGUAGCGAAAGUUACGCUAAUACCGCAUACGAUCUAAGGAUGAAAGUGGGGGAUCGCAAGACCUCAUGCUCCUGGAGCGGCCGAUAUCUGAUUAGCUAGUUGGUGGGGUAAAGGCCUACCAAGGCAUCGAUCAGUAGCUGGUCUGAGAGGACGACCAGCCACACUGGAACUGAGACACGGUCCAGACUCCUACGGGAGGCAGCAGUGGGGAAUUUUGGACAAUGGGCGCAAGCCUGAUCCAGCAAUGCCGCGUGAGUGAAGAAGGCCUUCGGGUUGUAAAGCUCUUUUGUCAGGGAAGAAACGGUGAGGGCUAAUAUCCCUUGCUAAUGACGGUACCUGAAGAAUAAGCACCGGCUAACUACGUGCCAGCAGCCGCGGUAAUACGUAGGGUGCAAGCGUUAAUCGGAAUUACUGGGCGUAAAGCGUGCGCAGGCGGUUUUGUAAGUCUGUCGUGAAAUCCCCGGGCUCAACCUGGGAAUUGCGAUGGAGACUGCAAGGCUAGAAUCUGGCAGAGGGGGGUAGAAUUCCACGUGUAGCAGUGAAAUGCGUAGAUAUGUGGAGGAACACCGAUGGCGAAAGGCAGCCCCCUGGGCUAAGAUUGACGCUCAUGCACGAAAGCGUGGGGAGCAAACAGGAUUAGAUACCCUGGUAGUCCACGCCCUAAGCGAUGUCUACUAGUUGUCGGGUCUUAAUUGACUUGGUAACGCAGCUAACGCGUGAAGUAGACCGCCUGGGGAGUACGGUCGCAAGAUUAAAACUCAAAGGAAUUGACGGGGACCCGCACAAGCGGUGGAUGAUGUGGAUUAAUUCGAUGCAACGCGAAAAACCUUACCUACCCUUGACAUGGCAGGAAUUCCCGAGAGAUUGGGAAGUGCUCGAAAGAGAACCUGCACACAGGUGCUGCAUGGCUGUCGUCAGCUCGUGUCGUGAGAUGUUGGGUUAAGUCCCGCAACGAGCGCAACCCUUGUCAUUAGUUGCUACGAAAGGGCACUCUAAUGAGACUGCCGGUGACAAACCGGAGGAAGGUGGGGAUGACGUCAAGUCCUCAUGGCCCUUAUGGGUAGGGCUUCACACGUCAUACAAUGGUACAUACAGAGGGCCGCCAACCCGCGAGGGGGAGCUAAUCCCAGAAAGUGUAUCGUAGUCCGGAUUGUAGUCUGCAACUCGACUGCAUGAAGUUGGAAUCGCUAGUAAUCGCGGAUCAGCAUGUCGCGGUGAAUACGUUCCCGGGUCUUGUACACACCGCCCGUCACACCAUGGGAGCGGGUUUUACCAGAAGUAGGUAGCUUAACCGCAAGGAGGGCGCUUACCACGGUAGGAUUCGUGACUGGGGUG